rnacentral:sRNA from 1 species
GCUGUGUCAUGUAUGACAGCCAUCACUCAUGGCUCUCCACUAGGAGGGAACGACAGCCAGGGCCAGGUUCUUGAUGGCCAGUCUCAGCAUCUCUUCCAACAGAACCAGACUUCAUCACCUGAUUCUUCCAAUGAGAAUUCCGUAGCAACUCCUCCUCCAGAGGAACAAGGGCAAGGUGAUGCCCCACCACAGCAUGAAGAUGAAGAUCCUGCAUUUCCACAUACUGAGCUGGCAAAGCUGGAUGACAUGAUCAACAGGCCUCGAUGGGUGGUUCCUGUUUUGCCAAAAGGGGAAUUAGAAGUGCUUUUAGAAGCUGCUAUUGAUCUUAGUGUAAAAGGCCUUGAUGUUAAAAGUGAAGCAUGCCAACGUUUUUUUCAAGAUGGACUGACAAUAUCUUUCACUAAAAUUCUUAUGGAUGAGGCUGUGAGUGGCUGGAAGUUUGAAAUUCAUAGAUGUAUUAUUAACAAUACUCAUCGCCUAGUGGAACUUUGUGUGGCCAAGUUGUCCCAAGAUUGGUUUCCACUUCUAGAACUUCUCGCCAUGGCCUUAAAUCCUUACUGCAAGUUUCAUAUCUACAAUGGUACACGUCCGUGUGAAUUAAUUUCCUCAAAUGCUCAGUUGCCUGACGAUGAAUUAUUUGCUCGUUCUUCAGAUCCUCGAUCACCAAAAGGUUGGCUAGUGGAUCUCAUCAAUAAAUUUGGCACAUUAAAUGGGUUCCAGAUUUUGCAUGAUCAUUUUUUUAAUGGAUCAGCAUUAAAUGUUCAAAUAAUUGCAACUCUUAUUAAACCAUUUGGACAAUGCUAUGAGUUUCUCAGUCAACAUACAGUGAAAAAGUACUUCAUUCCAGUUAUAGAAAUAGUUCCACAUUUAUUGGAAAACUUAACUGAUGAAGAACUGAAAAAGGAAGCAAAGAAUGAAGCCAAAAAUGAUGCCAUUUCAAUGAUUAUUAAAUCUUUGAAGAACUUAGCUUCAAGAAUUUCAGGACAAGAUGAGACUAUAAAAAAUUUGGAAAUUUGUAGGUUAAAGAUGAUACUCAGAUUGUUGCAAAUUUCCUCUUUCAAUGGAAAGAUGAAUGCACUGAAUGAAAUAAAUAAGGUUAUAUCUAGUGUAUCAUAUUAUACUCAUCGGCAUAGUAAUCCUGAGGAGGAAGAAUGGCUGACAGCUGAGCAAAUGGCAGAAUGGAUACAGCAAAAUAAUAUCUUAUCCAUAGUCUUGCAAGACAGUCUUCAUCAACCACAAUAUGUAGAAAAGCUAGAGAAAAUUCUUCGUUUUGUGAUUAAAGAAAAGGCUCUUACAUUACAGGACCUUGAUAAUAUCUGGGCAGCACAGGCAGGAAAACAUGAAGCCAUUGUGAAGAAUGUACAUGAUCUGCUAGCAAAGUUGGCUUGGGAUUUUUCUUCUGGACAACUUGAUCAUCUUUUUGAUUGCUUUAAGGCAAGUUGGACAAAUGCAAGUAAAAAGCAACGUGAAAAGCUCCUUGAGUUGAUACUCCGUCUUGCAGAAGAUGAUAAAGAUGGUGUGAUGGCACACAAAGUGUUGAACCUUCUUUGGAACCUGGCUCAUAGUGAUGAUGUGCCUGUAGACAUCAUGGACCUUGCUCUUACUGCCCACAUAAAAAUACUAGAUUAUAGUUGUUCCCAGGAUCGAGAUGCACAGAAGAUCCAGUGGAUAGAUCACUUUAUAGAAGAACUUCGCACAAAUGACAAGUGGGUAAUUCCUGCUCUGAAACAAAUAAGAGAAAUUUGUAGUUUGUUUGGUGAAGCACCUCAAAAUUUGAGUCAAACUCAGCGAAGUCCCCGCAUAUUUUAUCGCCAUGAUUUAAUCAACCACCUUCAACAAAAUCAUGCUUUAGUUACUUUGGUAGCAGAAAACCUUGCAACCUACAUGAAUAGCAUCAGAUUGUAUGCUAGAGAUCGUGAAGACUAUGAUCCACAAACAGUGAGGCUUGGAAGUCGAUACAGUCAUGUUCAAGAAGUUCAAGAACGACUAAACUUCCUUAGAUUUUUACUGAAGGAUGGCCAACUGUGGCUCUGUGCUCCUCAGGCAAAACAAAUAUGGAAGUGCUUAGCAGAAAAUGCAGUUUAUUUUUGUGAUCGUGAAGCCUGUUUUAAGUGGUAUUCCAAGUUAAUGGGGGAUGAACCAGACUUAGAUCCUGAUAUUAAUAAGGACUUCUUUGAAAGUAGUGUGCUUCAGCUUGAUCCUUCCCUUUUAACUGAAAAUGGAAUGAAAUGCUUUGAAAGAUUUUUCAAAGCUGUCAAUUGUCGAGAAAGGAAACUAAUAGCAAAAAGAAGAUCCUAUAUGAUGGAUGAUUUGGAAUUAAUUGGACUAGACUACCUUUGGAGGGUUGUGAUUCAGAGUAGUGACGAGAUUGCCAACAGAGCUAUAGAUCUUCUUAAAGAGAUAUACACAAACCUUGGCCCAAGAUUAAAAGCCAAUCAGGUGGUUAUCCAUGAAGACUUCAUUCAGUCUUGCUUUGAUCGUUUAAAAGCAUCGUAUGAUACACUGUGUGUUUUUGAUGGUGACAAAAACAGCAUUAAUUGUGCAAGACAAGAAGCCAUUCGAAUGGUUAGAGUAUUAACUGUUAUAAAAGAGUACAUUAAUGAAUGUGACAGUGAUUAUCACAAGGAAAGAAUGAUUCUACCUAUGUUGAGAGCAUUUCGUGGCAAACACCUCUCUCUUAUAGUUCGGUUUCCAAACCAGGGCAGACAGGUUGAUGAGUUGGAUAUAUGGUCUCAUACGAAUGACACAAUUGGUUCAGUACGGCGAUGUAUUGUUAAUCGUAUUAAAGCCAAUGUAGCCCACACAAAAAUUGAACUUUUUGUGGGUGGUGAGCUGAUAGAUUCUGAAGAUGACAGAAAGCUAAUUGGACAAUUAAACUUAAAAGAUAAAUCUCUAAUUACAGCCAAACUUACACAAAUAAAUUCCAAUAUGCCAGCAAGUCCUGAUAGCUCUUCCGAUUCCUCAACUGCAUCUCCUGGAAACCACCAUAAUCAUUACAAUGAUGGUCCCAAUCUAGAGGUGGAAAGUUGUUUGCCUGGGGUGAUAAUGUCAGUGCAUCCCAGAUACAUCUCUUUCCUUUGGCAAGUUGCAGACUUAGGUAGGAACCUGAAUAUGCCACCUCUUAGAGAUGGAGCAAGAGUACUUAUGAAACUUAUGCCACCAGAUAGAACAGCUGUAGAAAAAUUACGAGCUGUUUGUUUGGACCAUGCAAAACUUGGAGAAGGCAAACUUAGUCCACCCCUUGACUCUCUUUUCUUUGGUCCUUCUGCCUCCCAAGUUCUAUACCUAACAGAGGUAGUUUAUACCUUGUUAAUGCCUGCUGGUGUGCCUCUAACUGAUGGGUCCUCUGACUUUCAAGUUCACUUCUUGAAAAGUGGUGGCUUACCUCUUGUACUGAGUAUGCUAAUAAGAAAUAACUUCUUGCCAAAUACAGAUACGGAAACUCGAAGGGGUGCUUAUUUAAAUGCUCUUAAAAUAGCCAAACUGUUGUUAACUGCGAUUGGCUAUGGCCAUGUUCAAGCUGUAGCAGAAGCUUGUCAGCCAGUUGUAGAUGGUACAGACCCCAUAACACAGAUUAACCAAGUUACUCAUGAUCAAGCAGUGGUGCUACAAAGUGCCCUUCAGAGCAUUCCUAAUCCCUCAUCUGAGUGCGUACUUAGAAGUGAGUCCAUACUUCUUGCUCAGGAAAUAUCUAAUGAGGCUUCAAGAUAUAUGCCUGAUAUUUGUGUAAUUAGAGCUAUACAGAAAAUUAUCUGGGCAUCAGCAUGUGGGGCAUUAGGACUAGUUUUUAGCCCAAAUGAAGAAAUAACUAAAAUUUAUCAGAUGACCACCAAUGGAAGCAAUAAGCUGGAGGUGGAAGAUGAACAAGUUUGCUGUGAAGCACUGGAAGUGAUGACCUUAUGUUUUGCUUUACUUCCAACAGUGUUGGAUGCACUUAGUAAAGAAAAAGCCUGGCAGACCUUCAUCAUUGACUUAUUAUUGCACUGUCCAAGCAAAACUGUUCGUCAGUUGGCACAGGAGCAGUUCUUUUUAAUGUGCACCAGAUGUUGCAUGGGACACAGGCCUCUGCUUUUCUUCAUUACUUUACUCUUUACCAUACUGGGGAGCACAGCAAGAGAGAAGGGUAAAUAUUCAGGCGAUUAUUUCACACUUUUACGGCACCUUCUCAAUUAUGCUUACAAUGGCAAUAUUAACAUACCCAAUGCUGAAGUUCUUCUUGUCAGUGAAAUUGAUUGGCUCAAAAGGAUUAGGGAUAAUGUUAAAAACACAGGUGAAACAGGUGUCAAAGAGCCAAUACUGGAAGGCCACCUUGGGGUAACAAAAGAGUUAUUGGCCUUUCAAACUUCUGAGAAAAAGUGUCACUUUGGUUGUGAAAAAGGAGGUGCUAAUCUCGUUAAAGAAUUAAUUGAUGAUUUCAUCUUUCCUGCAUCCAAAGUUUACCUGCAGUAUGUAAGAAGUGGAGAACUACCAGCUGAGCAGGCUAUUCCAGUCUGUAGUUCACCCGUUACCAUCAAUGCCGGUUUUGAGCUACUUGUAGCAUUAGCUAUUGGCUGUGUGAGGAAUCUCAAACAGAUAGUAGACUGUUUGACUGAAAUGUAUUACAUGGGCACAGCAAUUACUACUUGUGAAACACUUACUGAGUGGGAAUAUCUGCCCCCUGUUGGACCCUGCCCACCAAAAGGAUUUGUGGGACUCAAAAAUGCUGGUGCUACGUGUUACAUGAACUCUGUGAUCCAGCAGCUAUACAUGAUUCCUUCUAUCAGGAACAGUAUUCUUGCAAUUGAAGGCACAGGUAGUGAUUUAGACGAUGAUAUGUUCAGGGAUGAGAAGCAGGACAGUGAGAGUAAUGUUGAUCCCCGAGAUGAUGUAUUUGGAUAUCCUCAUCAAUUUGAAGACAAGCCAGCAUUAAGUAAGACAGAAGAUAGGAAAGAGUAUAAUAUUGGUGUCCUAAGACACCUUCAGGUCAUCUUUGGUCAUUUAGCUGCUUCCCGACUGCAAUAUUAUGUACCCAGAGGAUUUUGGAAACAGUUCAGGAUUUGGGGUGAACCUGUUAAUCUCCGUGAACAACAUGAUGCCUUAGAGUUUUUUAAUUCUUUGGUGGAUAGUUUAGAUGAAGCUUUAAAAGCUUUAGGACACCCGGCUAUACUAAGUAAAGUCCUAGGAGGCUCCUUUGCUGAUCAGAAGAUCUGCCAAGGCUGCCCACAUAGGUAUGAAUGUGAAGAAUCUUUUACAACUUUGAAUGUGGAUAUUAGAAAUCAUCAAAAUCUUCUUGAUUCUUUGGAACAGUAUAUCAAAGGAGAUUUAUUGGAAGGUGCAAAUGCAUAUCAUUGUGAAAAAUGUGAUAAAAAGGUUGACACAGUAAAGCGCCUGCUAAUUAAAAAAUUGCCUCGGGUUCUUGCUAUCCAACUCAAACGAUUUGACUAUGACUGGGAAAGAGAAUGUGCAAUUAAAUUCAAUGAUUAUUUUGAAUUUCCUCGAGAGCUGGAUAUGGGACCUUACACAGUAGCAGGUGUUGCAAACCUGGAAAGGGAUAAUGUAAACUCAGAAAAUGAGUUGACUGAACAGAAAGAGCAGUCUGACAAACUGCAGGAGGCACAAAGUACAGACUUGUAGGAGUGCUUGUACACAGUGGUCAAGCAAGCAGUGGGCAUUAUUAUUCUUACAUCAUUCAAAGGAAUGGUAAAGAUGAUCAGACAGAUCACUGGUAUAAAUUUGAUGAUGGAGAUGUAACAGAAUGCAAAAUGGAUGAUGAUGAAGAAAUGAAAAAUCAGUGUUUUGGUGGAGAGUACAUGGGAGAAGUAUUUGAUCACAUGAUGAAGCGCAUGUCAUAUAGGCGACAGAAGAGGUGGUGGAAUGCUUACAUACUUUUUUAUGAACAAAUGGAUAUGAUAGAUGAAGAUGAUGAGAUGAUAAGAUAUAUAUCAGAGCUAACUAUUGCAAGACCCCAUCAGAUCAUUAUGUCACCAGCCAUUGAGAGAAGUGUACGGAAACAAAAUGUGAAAUUUAUGCAUAACCGAAUGCAAUAUAGUUUAGAGUAUUUUCAGUUUGUGAAAAAACUGCUUACAUGUAAUGGUGUUUAUUUAAACCUUGCUCCAGGGCAGGAUUAUUUGUUGCCUGAAGCAGAAGAAAUUACUAUGAUUAGUAUUCAGCUUGCUGCUAGAUUCCUCUUUACCACUGGAUUUCACACCAAGAAAAUAGUUCGUGGUCCUGCCAGUGACUGAUGUUUCUGUUUUAGGUAUGAUGCACUGUGCGUUCUUCUCCAUCACAGCAAAAAUAUACGUUUUUGGUUUACUCAUAAUGUCCUUUUUAAUGUAUCAAAUCGCUUCUCUGAAUACCUUCUGGAGUGCCCUAGUGCAGAAGUGAGGGGUGCAUUUGCAAAACUUAUAGUGUUUAUUGCACACUUUUCCUUGCAAGAUGGGUCUUGUCCUUCUCCUUUUGCAUCUCCAGGACCUUCUAGUCAGGCAUGUGAUAACUUGAGCUUGAGUGACCACUUACUAAGAGCCACACUAAAUCUCUUGAGGGAAGUUUCAGAGCAUGGACGUCAUUUACAGCAAUAUUUUAAUUUGUUUGUAAUGUAUGCCAAUUUAGGUGUGGCAGAAAAAACACAGCUUCUGAAAUUGAAUGUACCUGCUACCUUUAUGCUUGUGUCUUUAGACGAAGGACCAGGUCCUCCAAUCAAAUAUCAGUAUGCUGAAUUAGGCAAGUUAUAUUCAGUAGUGUCUCAGCUGAUUCGUUGUUGCAAUGUGUCAUCAACAAUGCAGUCUUCAAUCAAUGGUAAUCCCCCUCUCCCCAAUCCUUUCGGUGACCCUAAUUUAUCACAGCCUAUAAUGCCAAUUCAGCAGAAUGUGUUAGACAUUUUAUUUGUGAGAACAAGUUAUGUGAAGAAAAUUAUUGAAGACUGCAGUAACUCAGAGGAUACCAUCAAAUUACUUCGCUUUUGCUCUUGGGAGAAUCCUCAGUUCUCAUCUACUGUCCUCAGCGAACUUCUCUGGCAGGUUGCAUAUUCAUAUACUUAUGAACUUUGGCCAUAUUUAGAUCUACUUUUGCAAAUUUUACUGAUUGAGGACUCCUGGCAGACUCACAGAAUUCAUAAUGCACUUAAAGGAAUUCCAGAUGACAGAGAUGGGCUGUUCGAUACAAUACAGCGCUCGAAGAAUCACUAUCAAAAACGAGCAUAUCAGUGCAUAAAAUGUAUGGUAGCUCUAUUUAGCAGUUGUCCUGUUGCUUACCAGAUCUUACAGGGUAACGGAGAUCUUAAAAGAAAAUGGACCUGGGCAGUGGAAUGGCUAGGAGAUGAACUUGAAAGAAGACCAUAUACUGGCAAUCCUCAGUAUAGUUACAACAGUUGGUCUCCUCCAGUACAAAGCAAUGAAACAGCAAAUAGUUAUUUCUUAGAAAGAUCACAUAGUGCUAGGAGGACACUUGCAAAAGCUUGUGAACUCUGUCCAGAAGAGGAGCCAGAUGACCAGGAUGCCCCAGAUGAGCAUGAGCCCUCUCCAUCAGAAGAUGCCCCAUUAUAUCCUCAUUCACCUGCCUCUCAGUAUCAACAGAAUAAUCAUGUACAUGGACAGCCAUAUACAGGACCAGCAGCACAUCACUUGAACAACCCUCAGAAAACCGGCCAACGAACACCAGAAAAUUAUGAAGGCAAUGAAGAAGUAUCCUCACCUCAGAUGAAGGAUCAGUGAAAAGCAAUAAUUAACUGCUUCCUUUAUGACCAUGCACUAAGGUCUUACAGUCCAAACUUUCUCCAUGUCUGGCUAGUAUUGAAAACUAGAUAAACUGCUCCAAACCAACAUGGAGUAAAGAGCAUAUUCACUGUCUCAUUUGCAGUAAUCUGCAAUUUGUCAGUGUAUAAGACACAUGCAGGGUGAAGUGUACAGAGUUUUGUAACAAAUGACUGGUCCUAAUCUGUAAAUGAGAAAGGUAUAUAUACUAUGUUAAUGUCUGACUAUUAAUUCUUAAGCAAGAAACUGUUUUUGAUGAAAAUAAGUCAGAUCUACACAGUCACACAAUUAUUUUUUGUUGUGUUCACUACAUUGUGCAAUUGAUAUUGCCUGCUUUGAGCAGUUUGGUCAACUUACCAACUUCCCCCCAAAAAAGGGAACAUAAAAGAGCCCAUCUUUGUCAGUUUACACCAAUAGUUUCUUGUUAAUCCUUCUUUCCUGGAUAUAUAAGGCUGGUGGUAACUUUUGAAUUAUAUGGUUGAUGUGGAAAAUUGGCAGUGUAACAUUUCUAGAUACUUUUCAUUACCUUUUUAUUCUGGUAUAUAGGCUAACCACUUUAAAGUUAUUCUUAUGCUGUAACAGUUAGCAUGGCUUCACACUGUUUGUGUAGCCAAGAGGACAGAAUUACAUGAAUGACAGUGCCCAGAGUGACAGCUGUAUAUUGCUCAGAGCUUUUAUUUCUUAUACCUAGAAUAAAUAUAAAAUGGGGGGAAAAUGUGACAGACAAGCAGUUUUUCAUUGCAUACAUGUUCUUCACAUUUAAUGUUUGAUAGUUCAAUUUCUUGAUGAGCUGAAGAAUAUCAAAGUAUCGAUAAUAGGAAUUUUAAAAUAUUAAAACCAAUACGCAAAAUUUUCCUAUGUCAGAAUGUGGUGGAGCAUAAUAGAUUGUAUUUGGUGUGCUUGCGAUUUUUUUUUCCAUAGAAUUUAUUAAGUGAAGUUUCUAAAACUUUGCUUCUCCUGAUCCCGGUGAAGUGUACAUCAUAAGAAUCCACAGUACUUUGAAGUACCAUUGCACCAAGAUGUCUGACUGAAUUCGUAGUCACACUUUUAUUUGAAAGAAAGAAUUGUUGUAGUUUUUUUUCAUUAUUCUAAAACUCUUGUUGUUAGAUACAAGAUUUAAUUAAGAUCUAAGCUCUUGCUUAUUUAAUGUAAUUCUAAGGUACCAUUUUAGAAAAAACGUUUGUUUUAAGAUUCCAAGAAACCUGUGAGUUAAUACUAUAUUUAAAAGAGAAUUGGUAAAUUUUGAAUGUGUGUAAUAUUUUGGAACCUGUUUAAAAACCAAAUAUACCUGCAAAUAGAUACAGCCUAUCCUAUACUAUUUAAAUGUUUGGCUGUUUUGUUUUAUAGAAAUUAUUUUGCUGAAUUCACAAAUAAAAUUUAAGAAGA